UCAUAUGUUACACUAUGCUCUAACCCAGUGGUCAUCAAACCUCUCUUCACAUUGGGACUCUAACCCAAUGGCAUUUAAACCUCUCCUCACCUGGGUACUCUAACCCAGUAAUCCUAAAACCUUUCCUGAGCGGGGGACUCUAACCCAGUGGAUCUCAAACCUCUCCUCAGGUACUCUAACCCAGUGGAUCUCAAACCUCUCCUCAGGUACUCUAACCCAGUGGAUCUCAAACCUCUCCUCUCCUCAGGUACUCUAACCCAGUGUAACUCAAACCUUUCCUCUCCUCAGGUACUCUAACCCAGUGGAUCUCAAACCUCUCCUCAGGUACUCUAACCCAGUGGAUCUCAAACCUCUCCUCUCCUCGGUACUCUAACCCAGUGGAUCUCAAACCUCUCCUCUCCUCAGGUACUCUAACCCAGUGGAUCUCAAACCUCUCCUCAGGUACUCUAACCCAGCGGAUCUCAAACCUCUCCUCCGGUACUCUAACCCAGUGGAUCUCAAACCUCUCCUCUCCUCAGGUACUCUAACCCAGUGGAUCUCAAACCUCUCCUCAGGUACUCUAACCCAGUGGAUCUCAAACCUCUCCUCAGGUACUCUAACCCAGUGGAUCUCAAACCUCUCCUCAGGUACUCUAACCCAGUGGAUCUCAAACCUCUCCUCUCCACGGGACUCUAACCCAGUGGAUCUCAAACCUCUCCUCAGGUACUCUAACCCAGUGGAUCUCAAACCUCUCCUCAGGUACUGUAACCCAGUGGAUCUCAAACCUCUCCUCAGGUACUCUAACCCAGUGGAUCUCAAACCUCUCCUCUCCUCGGUACUCUAACCCAGUGGAUCUCAAACCUCUCCUCUCCUCAGGUACUCUAACCCAGUGGAUCUCAAACCUCUCCUCAGGUACUCUAACCCAGUGGAUCUCAAACCUCUCCUCUCCUCGGUACUCUAACCCAGUGGAUCUCAAACCUCUCCUCUCCUCAGGUACUCUAACCCAGUGGAUCUCAAACCUCUCCUCAGGUACUCUAACCCAGUGGAUCUCAAACCUCUCCUCUCCUCGGUACUCUAACCCAGUGGAUCUCAAACCUCUCCUCUCCUCAGGUACUCUAACCCAGUGGAUCUCAAACCUCUCCUCAGGUACUCUAACCCAGCGGAUCUCAAACCUCUCCUCCGGUACUCUAACCCAGUGGAUCUCAAACCUCUCCUCUCCUCAGGUACUCUAACCCAGUGGAUCUCAAACCUCUCCUCAGGUACUCUAACCCAGUGGAUCUCAAACCUCUCCUCAGGUACUCUAACCCAGUGGAUCUCAAACCUCUCCUCUCCUCAGGUACUCUAACCCAGUGGAUCUCAAACCUCUCCUCUCCGCAGGUACUCUAACCCAGUGGAUGUCAAAUCUCUCCUCAGGUACUCUAACCCAGUGGAUCUCAAACCUCUCCUCAGGUACUCUAACCCAGUGGAUCUCAAACCUCUCCUCUCCACGGGACUCUAACCCAGUGGAUCUCAAACCUCUCCUCAGGUACUCUAACCCAGUGGAUCUCAAACCUCUCCUCAGGUACUGUAACCCAGUGAAUCUCAAACCUCCCCUCUCCUCAGGUACUCUAACCCAGUGGAUCUCAAACCUCUCCUCUCCUCGGUACUCUAACCCAGUGGAUCUCAAACCUCUCCUCUCCUCAGGUACUCUAACCCAGUGGAUCUCAAACCACUCCUCAGGUACUCUAACCCAGUGGAUCUCAAACCUCUCCUCUCCUCAGGUACUCUAACCCAGUGGAUCUCAAACCUUUCCUCUCCUCAGGUACUCUAACCCAGUGGAUCUCAAACCUCUCCUCGGUACUCUAACCCAGUGGAUC